rnacentral:rRNA from 1 species
GACAGAGGGUGCAAACGUUGCUCGGAUUUACUGGGCGUAAAGCGCGUGUAGGCGGCUUUGCAAGUCGGAUGUGAAAGCCCACGGCUCAACCGUGGAAGUGCAUCCGAAACUGCAUGGCUCGAGUCUCGGAGAGGAAGGUGGAAUGCUUGGUGUAGAGGUGAAAUUCGUAGAUAUCAAGCAGAACACCUGCGGCGAAGGCGGCCUUCUGGACGAUGACUGACGCUGAGACGCGAAAGCGUGGGGAGCAAACAGG